GUGGGGAAUAUUGGACAAUGGGCGCAAGCCUGAUCCAGCCAUGCCGCGUGAGUGAUGAAGGCCUUAGGGUUGUAAAGCUCUUUCAGUGGGGACGAUAAUGACGGUACCCACAGAAGAAGCCCCGGCUAACUUCGUGCCAGCAGCCGCGGUAAUACGAAGGGGGCUAGCGUUGUUCGGAUUUACUGGGCGUAAAGCGCACGGAGGCGGAUCGUUAAGUCGGGGGUGAAAUCCUGGAGCUCAACUCCAGACCUGUCUUCGAUACUGGCGAUCUUGAGUCCGGAAUAGGUGAGUGGAACUCCUAGUGUAGAGGUGGAAUUCGUAGAUAUUAGGAAGAACACCAGUGGCGAAGGCGGCUCACUGGUCCGGUACUGACGCUGAGGUGCGAAAGCGUGGGGAGCAAACAGGAUUAGAUACCCGAGUAGUCC
rnacentral:rRNA from 1 species